rnacentral:rRNA from 1 species
GACGAACGCUGGCGGCGUGCUUAACACAUGCAAGUCAAACGGUAAGGCCCUUCGGGGUACACGAGUGGCGAACGGGUGAGUAACACGUGGGUGAUCUGCCCUGCACUUCGGGAUAAGCCUGGGAAACUGGGUCUAAUACCGGAUAGGACUCCGGACUGCAUGGUCUGGGGUGGAAAGCUUUUGCGGUGUGGGAUGGGCCCGCGGCCUAUCAGCUUGUUGGUGGGGUGAUGGCCUACCAAGGCGACGACGGGUAGCCGGCCUGAGAGGGUGACCGGCCACACUGGGACUGAGAUACGGCCCAGACUCCUACGGGAGGCAGCAGUGGGGAAUAUUGCACAAUGGGCGCAAGCCUGAUGCAGCGACGCCGCGUGAGGGAUGACGGCCUUCGGGUUGUAAACCUCUUUCAGCACAGACGAAGCGCAAGUGACGGUACGUGCAGAAGAAGGACCGGCCAACUACGUGCCAGCAGCCGCGGUAAUAC